GAUGAACGCUGGCGGCGUGCCUAACACAUGCAAGUCGAACGGGGCCGGUUUUCGGAUCGGUUCAGUGGCGGACGGGUGCGUAACACGUGGGUGACCUGCCCGGGAGUGGGGAAUAAUUCCGCGAAAGCGGGACUAAUACCGCAUGCGCUCGUGCCUUCGCUGGCAUGAGCAAAGUCGCAAGACGCUUCCGGAUGGGCCCGCGGCGGAUUAGCUGGUUGGUGGGGUAAUGGCCUACCAAGGCGAUGAUCCGUAGGGGGCGUGAGAGCGUGACCCCCCACAUUGGCACUGAGACACGGGCCAAACUCCUACGGGAGGCAGCAGUGAGGAAUAUUGCACAAUGGGCGCAAGCCUGAUGCAGCAACGCCGCGUGAGGGAUGAAGGCCCUCGGGUCGUAAACCUCUUUUCUGAGGGACGAGCAAGGACGGUACCUCAGGAAUAAGUCUCGGCUAACUACGUGCCAGCAGCCGCGGUAAAACGUAGGAGGCGAGCGUUAUCCGGAUUUACUGGGCGUAAAGCGCACGCAGGCGGCUUUGUGCAUCGGAUGUGAAAGCUCCUGGCUUAACUGGGAGAGGCCAUUCGAUACGGCAAGGCUUGAGGUUGGGAGAGGGGUGCGGAAUUCCCGGUGUAGUGGUGGAAUGCGUAGAUAUCGGGAGGAACACCAGUGGCGAAGGCGGCACCCUGGCCCACACCUGACGCUGAGGUGCGAAAGCGUGGGUAGCAAACAGGAUUAGAUACCCUGGUAGUCCACGCCGUAAACGAUGUCAACUAGGUGUUGGUGGUGUUACACUAUCAGUGCCGUAGCUAACGCGUUAAGUUGACCGCCUGGGGACUACGAGCGCAAGCUUA
rnacentral:rRNA from 1 species